CCCUUAGAUGUUCGGGGCCGCACGCGCGCUACACUGAAGGACUCAGCGUGUCUCUCCCCCUAUCCCGAAAGGGAUGGGCAACCCGUUGAACCUCCUUCGUGCUAGGGAUUGGGGUUUGCAAUUAUCCCCCAUGAACGAGGAAUUCCCAGUAAGCGCGAGUCAUCAGCUCGCGUUGAUUACGUCCCUGCCCUUUGUACACACCGCCCGUCGCUACUACCGAUUGGAUGGUCUAGUGAGACCCUCGGAUCGGUCCCGACUCGGGGUGGGCUUCUGCCCCGGUCGUGGUUUCGCCGAGAAGACGGUCAAACCUGACUAUCUAGAGGAAGUAAAAGUCGUAACA
rnacentral:rRNA from 1 species